CUACGGGAGGCAGCAGUGGGGAAUAUGGACAAUGGCGCAGCUGAUCAGCAAUGCGCGUGAGUGAGGAAGGCUUAGGGUGUAAAGCUCUUUCACCCGCGACGAUGAUGACGGUAGCGGGAGAAGAAGCCCGGCUAACUUCGUGCCAGCAGCCGCGGUAAUACGAAGGGGGCGAGCGUUGUUCGGAUUUACUGGGCGUAAAGGGCGCGCAGGCGGCUUUGUUUGUCAGGCGUGAAAGCCCCGGGCUUAACCUGGGAACUGCGUUUGAUACGGCAGGGCUAGAGUUCGGGAGAGGAGAGUGGAAUUCCCAGUGUAGAGGUGAAAUUCGUAGAUAUUGGGAAGAACACCGGUGGCGAAGGCGGCUCUCUGGACCGAGACUGACGCUGAGGCGCGAAAGCGUGGGGAGCAAACAGGAUUAGAUACCCUGGUAGUCCACGCUGUAAACGAUGUGUGCUAGACGUUGGGGAGCCUAGCUCUUCGGUGUCGCAGCUAACGCGGUAAGCACACCGCCUGGGGAGUACGGCCGCAAGGUUAAAACUCAAAGGAAUUGACGGGGGCCCGCACAAGCGGUGGAGCAUGUGGUUUAAUUCGACGCAACGCGAAGAACCUUACCAGCUUUUGACAUGUCCCGUGUGGGUGGGGGAGACCUCAUCCUUCAGUUCGGCUGGCGGGAACACAGGUGCUGCGUGGCUGUCGUCAGCUCGUGUCGUGAGAUGUUGGGUUAAGUCCCGCAACGAGCGCAACCCUCGCCUCUAGUUGCCAUCAUUCAGUUGGGCACUCUAGAGGGACUGCCGGUGAUAAGCCGCGAGGAAGGUGGGGAUGACGUCAAGUCCUCAUGGCCCUUACAGGUUGGGCUACACACGUGCUACAAUGGCGGUGACAAUGGGCAGCGAACCCGCGAGGGGGAGCUAAUCCCAAAAAGCCGUCUCAGUUCAGAUUGCACUCUGCAACUCGAGUGCAUGAAGGUGGAAUCGCUAGUAAUCGUGGAUCAGCACGCCGCGGUGAAUACGUUCCCGGG
rnacentral:rRNA from 1 species